CUUUUCUCUAAGAACAAGCACAAAAAAAUGAUGAUGAUGAUGAUGAGGAUGAGGAUGAUGGCUGGAACAAGAAGACUAGCGGCGGAUUCUUGUUCAAAGAUGCUGCUGACUUGUUGUUACCAAGCUAGGAACGAGGUAAAAAUCCUCUCUUUGAUUUGAUUUUCUUUCGGUUGGUUGUUGGGUUUUGUUAGGAAAAGUAAAGCCCAUGGAGAUAAAUUGAUUUUCUUUUUGGUUUGUUGUUGUUGUGUUUUAAAAAGAUUGAACUUUUGAGAUCUGAUUGUUCGAUGGCUUUUUUUUUUUAAAGUUUGAUUCUUUGUUUUGGGUUUAAAGUUUUGAGUCUUCAUGUCCAUUUUCUACAACCUGCUGAUCCAAUUUUUUUUCCCUUUUGACUCUCUUCUGACCUUGAGCCAUAAGUUUUGAGUCUUCAUGUCUUGUUGUUUGAUUUCGGUCCUUAUCAAGUUUAUAGAGUUUUUAAAGUUUGAUUCUUUAUGGGUUUGUUUUGGGUUUUAACCUCUUCUUGAAAACUUUAAGAAGAUCGAACCAAUUUUGCACAACUUCCUCCUCCCCAAAUAUAUAACCCAACUGUAGUUGUUCUCCAAGUUUAACAUCACAUCUCCACACCAGCACUUGUCUCUUUUUGUUUCUCGUGAGAGACUCCAAUGAGAAAUCACUUCAUUGAUAUUGAGUAUAAUUAAUAAUAAUAUAUAUUGUCUACCGGGAAUUUCUCAAAUUAAAAUUUAAUUAUAUAAACAUGCAUUUGUUCAUAAAACUAUAGGUUAGUGGAAUAUAAUACAAAGACUUGCUAUUUGCUGGUCAAAUUAUCUAUUAACGAGUACUUCAUAAAUGCAUGUACUAUCACAGCUAUAAGAAUCGUACACAUGUGUUUUAGAGUUAAGUAUAAAUCAAAUCAAUUACGUUCCUUUUCCACAUUGGAUAACAUGCAGUGAGCUAUAGGAAGUAACCAAAUUUUUGGAAAAGAAAAAGAACAUUGGAUAUGCUUCUCUUUAUCUUUUAACUAAAGACAACAAAAUCUUCGAUAUCAAUGAUGAAAUGUUUGAACAUUGGAUUUAUGGAUUGUUUGAUGAAUUUGUCGUCCAUAUAUAUUUCAGUUGACUAAAAUAUGUAGUUAGUCUCAUUCAGUACGGUAUAUGGAGUCUAGUUUUGAACCGUAGCAAGGUAAAUAGGAGAUAGAUUAUUCCCUUAAGCUUAAAUCUGAACAACCACAAGAAAGAUUAAUUAAUUUGAACAUAGGAUCUAAUGAUGAUAAAUUUUUGGUAUGCACAUGCGACUAUAAUUCUCAUAUACAGUCUCGUUUUAUCACAAUCGACAAAAUGAUUGGUAUUCAUUCAUCUUUGAAUAUUUAGAGAUGCAAAAAGAAUAAGAAUAUUUGCAUACGUAAGUUACAAUUCGUCUUGUAAGUUAAGCGUUACCUUGUAAAUUAAUUACAAUUCGUCUUUUUCCCGCAAUCAAGCAAAAAUGGUCAUGGACAUAACAAUCUGUAAUGAUUUAUUCAUCACUGCAUGCAAGCU